rnacentral:lncRNA from 1 species
GGCAUCAUGCUCUGAUACCUCCCCAGAUACAGCUUUCUGCCUCUCCUGCUACCAGGGCACCGUACCUAUUCUGCAACUGUGGACCUGUAGGUGGAGAAGGAACUGCUGUCCAUGUGCCAGAAGUCAUGUUAGUUAUUUUCAUCUCAUAAUUUCUAAUCAAUAUUGCAUUCAGCAUCACACCAGCUUGUCUCCAGAUGCCAGGACUUUUAGGACACACUGAUUUGCUCUUUUUUUGGUGUGACAGCUGUGCAUGGUGAUCCAGAACGUGGCUUGUCUUUUACGUCACUGUAGUCACUGCUGAAAUGCACUACCCGCAGCCUCCCUGUUCAGCAAGUAUUGAUGAAUGUCAGUGAGUGCAAUUUUUUCCUCAUGGAGAAAUUCACUGACACGCUAUUGCUUCAUCCACACUCCCAAAUCAGACACCACUGCAUCAGACUGCCCCGCUGCUGCCAUCUGUCACACAGCAACCACAUGUAACAGAAUACUGGCGGGAAGGCUCAACCUCUACUGCCAUACCACCCAUAUUAGCCUCUGACAUCAUGGGCCAACAUCAUAAAAUAGGAAGCGUUACUUUCAGAGCUUCCCUCAGAGAUAGAAUCUUCAAGAUGAUUAACAUAAGAAAGGAGGCAGAUAACAGCAUGUCAGAGAAGAGUGAGGGCUGGCUGCUCCCUGAAGUACAGAGAUCCUGGAGUCAAGAGCAGUAGUACUGCCAAGAAGGUAAGGGUCUCACCAGCAAGAGACCAGCUCCCAAUUCCCAGACGGUGCAAGCAGAGCAAGCCCAAUGAUGGUGGCUGGGUAUCACAAGAAGUCUG